rnacentral:snoRNA from 1 species
GAGCAAUGAUGUGAAAUUACUGAACCUGAAGUGUAUUUUAAUAAUAUACUUUUCAUGAUGGUUUCUACACUUGAACUGAGCUCA